rnacentral:rRNA from 1 species
AUGGGUGGGGCCACCGGUGCAGCGACGGGCGGGGCCUCCAUGGGGGAGGGGGGAGGCCCCAAUCGUGUCCCAUCGGCCUGGACCAGGCCCCACCCCCAGCACCAACGGCGAAGCCGCCAUGGCCGCCGGCGCGGGUGUCGGGAACACCGAACUGCCAAACCAGCCUACGCGGCCUGGGUCCGCCGCUCGCGAGGUCAGCACCGUCGUCGUCAGGGAGACCGCUCUGGCCGCUGUCCAACGAGCUCCCAAAGAACCAUGGCUCGCCGGCCUCUCUCAGAUCCAAGACCAUGUCAAUGUGAAUGA